ACAGCACCAUUUUAUGACAGAUCAUGAUGGGAACACAAAAUGGACUUAAUGAAAUGGCGCCUGGUGUACAACAUUGUGAUAUGUUACCAGCUAAACAUCACGAUAUACCAAGAUCACAACUGCCUCAGAGCCCUUGCACUGUAUUCCUAAAUUCAGGAAAUUGCUGCAGGAGAUUGUAGAAUAUGGUGACUUCAAGCUGCUGCAAACACCCUUUGGAUCAUCACUGCUGCAACUGCCCAACACCAGGUCACAUAGGAAGCUUCCUUAAGCCUCACCCAGCAUGACUGAUAGCCAAGGAAGACUGGAGCUGGAGCUCAGCAACAUCUGUAGUGCCCACAGGUCCCCACCUCUGCUGCAAAGCAUUCAGUGGUGCUGUCAGAACAUGACUUUGGGGCAGAUGUCCAAGGCCCCACUCAGCAAUUUUGCAGUAAAUGAAGUAACACAAAUUGCCAUCCAAGGACCUUUCUAAUCCAGAAAAGACUGGUGUUUUAUUGCAGGAGAAUUCUGCAACAUAUGGUUGACAUAAUAUUAGUGCAUGGGUGGUGAGUUUAUUCUGUUUUUGUUGGUUCUGCAAUGUUUCCCUGUUGUUAACACAUUAUUGCUGCCUGUCCAGGGGGGGCUACGGCAAAACAAAAGCAGGACAUAAAUAAACCAGUUAUGGAUUUUGGCAGGAAGUUACAGGAUAUGCAAUGACUGGAUGUCAGGUGUGCAGCAGGUAAGGGCAGGGCUUCAAAAGAACAACCAGCCACUUAGAGUGGGCUGCUGAUUGCUCCUUUGCUGGCAAAAGGUGUGCUCCCAAUGGGCCAUAGGAGCAUGCCUUGCUCAAGGAGUGGAAAGCAGUUUAGAAUCAAUAUAAACUGCUUCUCCUUCUUAGACUGCUCUUUGAAACCACAGUGUGCUGCUUAUUUCAACCUCCAGUUUUUGAGGCUUGCAAAGGGCUUUGUGAGCCAUUUCCCGCUGCUCCUUUCAACCCCUGAAAUUAGGCUGACAAAGCCCCUUGCACUGUGGUUUCCGAGUUUGGGGAUCCCACGCAAAGGAUUUUAACAGGUGGGGAGUACAACCCAGCUGUCAAUCCUGUGAUAUCAUAUUGACACAAUAUGAUUGAGAAAUAGGUUGCCUCACCUGCCUGUCAAAACUGGCACCCAGAGUAAAAAUCCCCAAACUGAUUUAUUGCCUCUGCAUUUGCUAGCAUAAUCCUCUGUGUCUUAGAAUAAUAGAAUUGUAGAGUUAGGAGGGACACCUAGUCCAACCCCCCACAAUACAGGAAUAAAUUGUAUAUCCCAGUGAUAUUCUGAAUAUGCAACAUAUUAGUAUUUUGAUGUAUUUUGUUAUCACUUUGUUGUUUUAUUGCUUUGUGUGGUCCCAAUUUUUAAAAAUGUAAGAAAGAGAACAGAAAAGAAUUGCAGCCAAUUUUUAUUUUAA